GGUGAGUAACACGUGGAUAACCUACCUAUAAGACUGGGAUAACUUCGGGAAACCGGAGCUAAUACCGGAUAAUAUAUUGAACCGCAUGGUUCAAUAGUGAAAGACGGUUUUGCUGUCACUUAUAGAUGGAUCCGCGCCGCAUUAGCUAGUUGGUAAGGUAACGGCUUACCAAGGCAACGAUGCGUAGCCGACCUGAGAGGGUGAUCGGCCACACUGGAACUGAGACACAGUCCAG
rnacentral:rRNA from 1 species